UACCUGGUUGAUCCUGCCAGUAGUCAUAUGCUUGUCUCAAAGAUUAAGCCAUGCAAGUCUAAGUACGAGCUCUCGUACAGUGAAACUGCGAAUGGCUCAUUAAAUCAGUUAUGGUUCAUUUGAUCGUACAGUUUACUUGGAUAACUGUGGUAAUUCUAGAGCUAAUACAUGCGAGAAGCGCCGACCUCGCGGGAGGCGUGCAUUUAUCAGACCAAAAACCGGCCGCGUCUUCGGGCGCGUUCGCCUUGGUGACUCUGGAUAACUUUGCGGAUCGCACGGUCUAGCACCGGCGACGGAUCAUUCAAGUGUCUGCCCUAUCAACUUUCGUCGGUACGGUAUUUGCCUACCGAGGUUCUUACGGGUGACGGGGAAUCAGGGUUCGAUUCCGGAGAGGGAGCCUGAGAAACGGCUACCACAUCCAAGGAAGGCAGCAGGCGCGCAAAUUACCCAUUCCCGACGCGGGGAGGUAGUGACGAAAAAUAACAAUGCAGGACUCGUUCGAGGCCCUGUAAUUGGAAUGAGUACACUUUAAAAGCUUUAACGAGUAUCCAUUGGAGGGCAAGUCUGGUGCCAGCAGCCGCGGUAAUUCCAGCUCCAAAAGUAUAUAUUUAAGUUGUUGCGGUUAAAAAGCUCGUAGUUGGAUUU
rnacentral:ncRNA from 1 species